UUCCGAAGGCUGCCCGGGAUUUACGAGGCAGAAGCCGGGAUGCGGCUCGGUAGGGCCCUUCCCAUCAGCGCAGGCUGCACAUACGGAUGCUCCGCAGAGAUGCUCUUGCCUCCCUGGCUGCCCUGCCUCCAGAUGUUGCAUCAUUUUGCGGGCCACAAAAAGCCCAGUGAUGCAGUCCCUGUUGCAGAAAAAGAAGCCCCCCCCCAGCCCAACCAGCCAAAAUCCAAGGUCACUGAGGCUUUACUGAAACCAAAAGGAAGAAAUCCUGUUCCCCAGCCUGGGAAGCAGCAGGGAGGAGAAAUCUGUGAAAUGGUACAAAAAUCUGCAAUGGAGAAGAGCGUGGGUUCUCCCACUAUCCUGCAGACCUGGCUUCUUUUGCCCCCACUUCGCUCAGCUCCCGGAGGGGGAGAUGCAGAACCCAGCCAGGCGCAGCGGAACUGGCAGCAUCACGAGCAUGAGCUCCUGUGGUGGGGCCUCCACUUAAACCUGCUCUGCUGAGCCUCAGAAGUGACCUAAGGAAAGCCAGCCAAAAGAGAAGCCGAAGCCCCAGCAAGCAGUGGGGUAUAGCUGUGAAUCCUAGCAACAGGCGGAGAGAGAACUGUACGUUUCUUCACGUCCUCCAAGUGUUGGUGCCUUCUGGUACAUCACUUACAGGGAGCGACAGAAUCCUUGGAAAGGCCCUUCGCGCCGUGGCAGCCAGAAAGGGCAUGGGAGGACAGAGGUUUUCCAGUGGGGUGGUCUGUUGCACCGGAGCUGUCGGCCAUGCUGUUCCAGUUCAGGGGCUCCUGCAACAGAAAAGAUCAGCUGUUGGAGAACCCAUGGAAAGCCCUGGGGGAGAGCCAUGGCCGCAAGGUAAUCAGCAGGCAAAGUUAUUACCAUUAUGCUGCUAAUUAAUUCCCAGCUCAUUACGUUUCCUGUGGCUAAUUUGUACUCGCCGCUGAUUUGAUUAAACUCAUCUCUAUGCUAAUAAAUGUGUUUUCCAUUUGUUUUAGCGACUGUAGGAAGAGAGCCCGGUAUUUACAUAUUUUGACGUUUAUCAAAUAAAACGCGGCGCCUGAAUUAAUUCUGCUUUGAUUUAUAAGUGGAGGUGGGGGGAAGGGGAGUAAGGGGAUGCGGAGGGUCAGGCGUACAUCGCGGGUGUGUGGCAGGGAGGGGGCUGCGUGGAUGGGCGAUGCUCCUGGGCAUUUAAUCCCCAAUGGCCCCAUCCUGCCCGGGGAUGGCUCCUGCAAGGUGUAUGCCACCUCGUCAGCCAUUCCCCUGCCAUUUAUUUCCCCUUCCCAGCCAAGUUUUGAGACCUGGAGCUUUGAUUUGUGGGUACAUCAUCCGGUUCACCAACACCUCAUCAGGUGGAUUUUUCUUUGUCUUUCAGAAAUUGCUCUAAAUUAAGAUUAGACUUACAACUGCAGCACCUAAUUAUAAGAAGUGACUUUGUUUCCCAGUUCCCUUUGG